rnacentral:lncRNA from 1 species
GGCCUGUGCCUCUCCUCUCUUUCUCGAUCAAAAGACCUCUUCCUGUGGAUAAAUGAUGAUACCAUCAACUUAAAAAUGCAACAAUUUUAAACCAGAAAAUAACUGCAACACAUUAUCAGUACCUGUCACGGUCUCGACUUUUGUAAUGAUCAUUAUCAUCCAUAAAGUCUCUCUCUCACGUUCCCUUUUCUCACUAUGUUCUCUGCUAAGGUGUCUAUAACAAUUUCUCCCAUUGUGGCGGUCGCAUUCACUACCCUUUUCAUCAUGUCUCUAUCUCUGGCCCUGCUCUUCACACUUUCAAUGUCGAUCGUGAUUCACGUCUGUCUUUUUGACGUCCCAUUUUCUUAUCUUCCUCACUGGCUAUUGAAAAUUCUGUUUCAAAUUCAUGAGAUUCAAGCUCUGAAACAAAUGGUAAAGGCUUCUUCAAA